rnacentral:lncRNA from 1 species
ACGUGAUCUCAGCACGGUCCUAAAACCAUUACCCAAACCUAUGGGAUUCAUUAUAAUCUUAAAAUAAAUAAGAUGCAGCAUAUAAUGAAACAAAAAUAUCUUAUUUUAUUAAUCAUAAAUAUCAAUUACAUGAGUUUGGAAGAUAAAUUAUAAUAAAUAUUCUAUCGCAUCGCAUAUGCGAUUGGCUUGUAGGGCAUUAUUCUUUCAAUCUCCCACUUGCACUUAAAGCCAAUCACCUCUAUACUUGAUACCCAUGCUAUCAAGAUGGUGGUCAAACUACUGUAUUUAUAAGGCCUUAGUGAAUGGGUUUGCUAGGUUGUUCUUGGUGUCAACUCUCUCCA